AACGAACGCUGGCGGCAUGCCUAACACAUGCAAGUCGAACGAGACCUUCGGGUCUAGUGGCGCACGGGUGCGUAACGCGUGGGAAUCUGCCCUUAGGUUCGGAAUAACUCCCCGAAAGGGGUGCUAAUACCGGAUAAUGUCUUCGGCCCAAAGAUUUAUCGCCUUUGGAUGGGCCCGCGUUGGAUUAGCUAGUUGGUAGGGUAAAAGCCUACCAAGGCGACGAUCCAUAGCUGGUCUGAGAGGAUGAUCAGCGACACUGGGACUGAGACACGGCCCAGACUCCUACGGGAGGCAGCAGUGGGGAAUAUUGGACAAUGGGCGAAAGCCUGAUCCAGCAAUGCCGCGUGAGUGAUGAAGGCCUUAGGGUUGUAAAGCUCUUUUACCCGGGAUGAUAAUGACAGUACCGGGAGAAUAAGCUCCGGCUAACUCCGUG
rnacentral:rRNA from 1 species